GUGCUCCAUGCUACCCUGGGGUUCUAGAAAUUCUGGAGCUCAAGGGCAUCAGUGGGUCAAGAGGACAGAAUGUCAUCAAAUUGGAAUCAUACAGAUUUCAGAUUGGCUUCUUUCACUAAGCAAUAUGCAUGAUAGAGGACUUCAUCAACAAGGUUCUUUCAUCUUCCUUAGUUGUUUGGAUCCUUAAGCCUGCCUUGAAAGAAGAGGGAGAAGGCUUCAGGGGAAAUGCUCCCCGCGCUGACCCACAGGAUGGCUUCCUUCAACAAAUGCAGCCACCUUUGAUUGGCUGCCUGCUACAAGAGAAACAUCAGGAGGUACGUAUUGCCAUGGGGGGAACUGAAGAUGGAGGACCCCUCAUUUGUGGAAUUGGGAACGGGCUUUGGGUCACAUGAGGCUCAUCCCUGAUGAGCUAGAACGUGGAAGUUACCUGAAUCCAGAAACCGAUAUUAGGCUCUGUAAUGGACAUGCAGAGGAAGAAGGACCUGUUGCCACGUCUACAGAGGGGUCAGGAAAGACACACUUGGAAUGACCCUAAGAAACCAUGGGCAAGUCUCCAUUUUUUUCCCUCAG
rnacentral:lncRNA from 1 species